UACGUAGGGGGCAAGCGUUGUCCGGAAUUAUUGGGCGUAAAGAGCUCGUAGGCGGUCUGUUGCGUCCGCUGUGAAAACUCGGGGCUUAACCCCGAGCCUGCAGUGGAUACGGGCAGACUAGAGGUAGGUAGGGGAGAAUGGAAUUCCCGGUGUAGCGGUGAAAUGCGCAGAUAUCGGGAGGAACACCGGUGGCGAAGGCGGUUCUCUGGGCCUGACCUGACGCUGAGGAGCGAAAGCGUGGGGAGCGAACAGG
rnacentral:rRNA from 1 species